rnacentral:rRNA from 1 species
GAUGAACGCUAGCGGCAGGCUUAACACAUGCAAGUCGAGGGGUAUAUGUCUUCGGAUAUAGAGACCGGCGCACGGGUGCGUAACGCGUAUGCAAUCUGCCUUUCACAGAGGGAUAGCCCAGAGAAAUUUGGAUUAAUACCUCAUAGUAUAAUCAAGCCGCAUGGUUUAAUUAUUAAAGUCGCAACGGUGAAAGAUGAGCAUGCGUCCCAUUAGCUAGUUGGUAAGGGAACGGCUUACCAAGGCAACGAUGGGUAGGGGUCCUGAGAGGGAGAUCCCCCACACUGGUACUGAGACACGGACCAGACUCCUACGGGAGGCAGCAGUGAGGAAUAUUGGACAAUGGGCGCAAGCCUGAUCCAGCCAUGCCGCGUGCAGGAUGACGGUCCUAUGGAUUGUAAACUGCUUUUGUACGAGAAGAAACAUCCCGACGUGUCGGGACUUGACGGUAUCGCAAGAAUAAGGAUCGGCUAACUCCGUGCCAGCAGCCGCAGUAACAC